rnacentral:piRNA from 1 species
UGCAAAUGGGAAAAGGACCCGAGGUGCCA